UCCGUAGGUGGAUCAAUUAGUCAGUGGUGAAAUCCUGCAGCUUAACUGUAGAACUGCCAUUGAUACUGUUGAUCUUGAGUAUAGUUGAGGUAGGCGGAAUGAGUAGUGUAGCGGUGAAAUGCUUAGAGAUUACUCAGAACACCGAUUGCGAAGGCAGCUUACUAAACUAUUACUGACACUGAUGGACGAAAGCGUGGGGAGCGAACAGGAUUAGAUACCCUGGUAGUCC
rnacentral:rRNA from 1 species